CCUACGGGAGGCAGCAGUGGGGAAUAUUGCACAAUGGGCGCAAGCCUGAUGCAGCAACGCCGCGUGAAUGAUGAAGGCCUUCGCGUCGUAAAGUUCUGUCCUAGGGGAAGAAGAAGUGACGGUACCCUGGGAGGAAGCCCCGGCUAACUACGUGCCAGCAGCCGCGGUAAU
rnacentral:rRNA from 1 species